rnacentral:rRNA from 1 species
AUACGGAGGAUCCGAGCGUUAUCCGGAUUUAUUGGGUUUAAAGGGAGCGUAGGCGGACGCUUAAGUCAGUUGUGAAAGUUUGCGGCUCAACCGUAAAAUUGCAGUUGAUACUGGGUGUCUUGAGUACAGUAGAGGCAGGCGGAAUUCGUGGUGUAGCGGUGAAAUGCUUAGAUAUCACGAAGAACUCCGAUUGCGAAGGCAGCUUGCUGGACUGUAACUGACGCUGAUGCUCGAAAGUGUGGGUAUCAAACAGGAUUAGAUACCCUGGUAGUCCACACAGUAAACGAUGAAUACUCGCUGUUUGCGAUAUACAGUAAGCGGCCAAGCGAAAGCAUUAAGUAUUCCACCUGGGGAGUACGCCGGCAACGGUGAAACUCAAAUGAAUUGGCGGGG